rnacentral:autocatalytically_spliced_intron from 1 species
AACCGCCGUGUACGGACCCGUAUGCCCGGUGGUGUGGGAAGGGUCGGGCCGCGAGGUCUGCCCCUAUCCCGAU